ensembl:lncRNA
UUCUGAGCUCAGGGCCGAGGAGGAUUAAAUGAGAGCAGUCCCAGAAGCACGAUGACAGCAUCCAGUGUGAGGCCAAACCCCCCACCAUUCGGGACGACGUAGGUUCUCCCGAAUAAAUUAUUAACCUUAAACCUUAGAUAUCAGUGAUUUACUGCGAGAUCUACCCGAGACACCUAUUAUCCUCCCGUGGCUUCUAACAACACGAGGUGGCCCACCGGACCGCCAGUGAUCUCCAUGGUCACGAGGUCCCGCCCUCCACCUGUUUUCAGCCAAUCCUGGAGGGCCACUCCCCCACCCCGAGCUGAUGUCUCAGCGGGCCGGACGGAUUUUGUUUUCUGGGCUCUGGAAGAGACAAGCGAAGCCUGAACCUCGAUAAAUGGAGGAGAGCGAGAGGUGUAGGAGCAGGUCUCCCGCCAGGAGGGCCAGCCGGGUGCAGCAGGUGGUGGGGACCAUUAUCCGACGCACCCGCGAGUCACUGAGCAGGUAGAGUACGGCGGUGG